rnacentral:pre_miRNA from 1 species
UUUAAGUACAGUCAUAGUUUUCCGCGUCCAACUUUGAUCGUCUGUCUUAUUUAAUUUUUUUUUUAAAAAAAUAAAAACAUAAGUCAUAAGUAAAUUACUAUUCAUAUUUUAUCAUCUCAUAACAAGAAAAAUACUAAUUUAAAAAAAUUGUAAAUAAGACGGACGAUCAAAGUUGAGCACGAAAACU